UUGGUUGAUUCUGCCAGUAGUCAUAUGCUUGUCUCAAAGAUUAAGCCAUGCAUGUGUAAGUAUGAAUUAAUUCAGACCGUGAAACUAUGAAUGACUCAUUAAAUCCGUUAUAGUUUGUUUGAUGGUACCUGCUACUCGGAUAACCGUAGUAUUUCUAGAUCUAAUACGUGCAACAAAACUCGAUUUCUCGAAGGGAUGUAUUUAUUAGAUAAAAGGUCGAUGCGGGCUCCGCCUGUUACUGCGAUGAUUCAUGAUAACUCAAUGGAUUGCAUGGCCCUCGUGCCGGAGACGCAUCAUUCAAAUUUUCACCCUAUCAACUUUCAAUGGUGGGAUAGCAGCCUACUAUGGUAGUGAUGGGUGACGGAGAAUUAGGGUUUGAUUUUGGCGAGGGAGCCUGAAAAAUGGCUAUCACAUCCAAGGAAGGCAGCAGGUGUGCACCGAUCAUCUCAUCCCUUCUGUUGACGAUGCGCUCUUGGCCUUAACUGGUCAGGUCGUGCCUCCAGUGCUAUUACUUUGAAGAAAUUAGAGUGCUCAAAGCAAGCCUACGCUCUGGAUACAUUAGCAUUGGAUAACAUUAUAGGAUUUCUAUCCUAUUACGUUGGCCUUUGGGAUCGGAGUAAUGAUGAACAAGUACAAUCAGAGACAAUCAUAUUUCAUAGUCAGAGAUGAAAUUCUUGGAUUAUGAAACAUGAACAACUGCAGAAGCAUCUGCCAAGGAUAUUUUCAUUAAUUAAGAACGAAUUUUGGGGGCUCGAAGGCGAUCAUAUAUCAUCCUCAUCUCAACCAUAAAUGAUGCUGACUAGGGAUCGACAAAUGUUGCUUAUAGGACUCCAUUGGCACCUUAUGAGAAAUCAAAGUUUUUGGGUUUCA
rnacentral:rRNA from 1 species